UCCUAGGUUUGCUGUCAAAAGGAUUC
rnacentral:piRNA from 1 species